ensembl:ncRNA asRNA:CR45108 antisense RNA:CR45108
AGAGCUUUUGAGUAGUAGGUCCAGCCGGAAUGUCCAACGUUUGGUCAGGUCUCGCAUCUGCAAGGUCGCAAAUGGCGAAGGCGUCCUGCCAGCGGGAUUCGGUGAACAGGGCCAACGUCUCGUCCAGUGGCAGCUGCUUGGCCAAAAUGUCGGUGAGCAGCGUGACAUCCUCCAUUCCAGCAUUCAUACCCUGGCCGUAGUACGGAACCAUCGCAUGGGCGGCAUCGCCCAGGAUCAGUGCCUUAUCCGCAUAAUGAUACGGCCGGCACUUGAUGGACACCAGAAACUGUGGCCUGGUCUUGAAGAAGUCCUUUAUGAGCUGUUGCUCUCCAAUCAGUGGCAGUGCGUCCCGGAAGUUCAGCUUAAAGAAUUCCAGGAGAUCGUUUUGAUUCUGAAUGCCAGCGAAGAUCUCAAAGGGCAUGGACAGCGUGACCGUGAAAGACUUAUCCUGAUUCGGCAGGGCAAUCAUCAUGAAGGUGUUACGCGGCCAUAUGUGCAGAUAGUUGGCAGGCAUCUGGAAGUCUCCCGAUUUCGAGGGUAUGCAGAGCUCCAGAUACCCCGUUUCUAUGUACUCCUGGGAGUAGUUGAAGCCCGGCAAACGGACCAAGUGCUGGCGCACACUACUGAAGGCACCAUCGCAGCCGACUAUAAGAUCAGCAUGGGCAGCUACGGCUUCCUUGGCGGGAUUGCGGAACUCCAUGGAUCCCUCUCGCAGAUUGGCACUUGUCAGCUUGUGCUCGAAGUGGCAGCGUAUAUUGGGCAGCUUAUCGCAGGCAUUCAAAAGGACUUCGUUCAGCUGUCGACGUCCCACGGAGUACAGGCAUUGAUUGUUAAUGGGAUCGUAUAGGACCACACUGGAGUUUCCUCGCACAUCGUGGAGCAUUCUGCCUCGCAUGGGUAUGGCGGUGGCCAGCACCUCUUGCUCCAGACCCACGGCGGCCAGCGCCUUACGGCCACGCUGCGAAAGAGCCAGGUUAAUACUCCUGCCCUGAACCACUAGGGCCUCGCGGAUAUCCUCCCGGUACUCGUACAAAUCCACGUGGUUGCCCAUGCGGGCAAAGUUCAAGGCUGCCAGAGAACCCACCUAGUGUUAUGGAGAAUAAGAUGCGUAGAAAGCGUGAUAAGAGCCUUAUAUCUGGAAGCAGGGAUUUAAAAACACUAAAGAUAACGCAUCUAACUACAUAUGUGAAGACACAUCAAAAUGCAGCAUAAUUUAAAGAUUACUUAGGAAUGAUUCGAAAAGAAUUCGAAUUCUAUAAUUCUACUACUAUGAUGUGUAUUUUAGCAAAUUAGCAAAGCUUAGUUUUAGAUAUUAUGAAGCUUAACUAGAAUUAUUGCCUGUUUAUAACCGUACUACGGUCUACUCUAAAUAUAGACUAUAUAUUAUUUUGUUAAUGAUUAACACUAAAUUUCAUUCGCUAUAUUUAUAGACCCACAAUCUAUUUAUGCUUUCGCAGAGUAAUAAUUGUAUACUUCAAAUAACUUUGUUACACUCACAAGUCCUGCUCCAAUAACCGCCACCCGGCGCCGUCGUCCAUGUCUCUCGUCCCUCGCAGCUUCUGUUGGCUCCUGGCGGCCGUUUACCUCCUGGCUAACGAUUCCUGGGCUCAUGACCGUUCUGCUGGCUCGUUGGCAGCGAAAUGAAGAUGGAAUCGAGAUGGAAGCCAGGCAACUGGCUGGGGAAAUGUUUAACCAAGAGAUUAUGUCAGAUGGGCAGUAAAUGGUAUCUAUGGUUGUUUGAUGUUGCUGCGGGAAGCCAACGAAAUGCAGCGGCGUAGCCACAAACAUUUGUCUUGGGGUAACUUUCCUAAGUUGGGCUGCAGAAAAUGAAGAUUUUACACCUGAUACUUGAUUCGUUGAGAAGCAUGUGUAACCAUUUGAAGCGAUUGUCCGUAUAAACAUCCCGAUCAACAAAUAAAAAACUAUAUAAGCUAGAGGGUAUGUACAUAGAUUCUACGCUAUGUAAGAUUGGCACGCCCACUCUAUAAUUCACAAACCUUUCAAAACUGUUACGCGCACACUUUCGAAAAGUGUUUUGAUAUUAUUUUGUAUCAGUAGUAUUUCAAACGAAUGUUUCAAAUAUUGACCUGCGUUUCCUCGUGUUUACUUGUUAAAUAAGCUAAGUUAACUAAGCUUAAGUAAUGGGAAAAUAUAUCAUUACAAAUUC